UACAGAGGUCUCGAGCGUUGUUCGGAUUCAUUGGGCGUAAAGGGUGCAUAGGUGGCGUGGUAAGUCGGAUGUGAAAUCCCGGGGCUCAACCCCGGAACUGCAUUCGAUACUGCCAUGCUAGAGUACUGGAGAGGAGAUUGGAAUUUACGGUGUAGCAGUGAAAUGCGUAGAUAUCGUAAGGAAGAACCGGUGGCGAAGGCGGCCAGCUGGGCAGUAACUGACACUGAGGCGUGACAGCGUGGGGAGCAAACAGGGAUUAGACUACCGUUGUAG
rnacentral:rRNA from 1 species